UGCAGUCGANCGGCAGCACGGACUUCGGUCUGGUGGCGAGUGGCGAACGGGUGAGUAAUAUAUCGGAACGUAUCCAAUAAUGGGGGAUAACUAAGCGAAAGCUUGGCUAAUACCGCAUACGCCCUCAGGGGGAAAGCAGGGGAUCUUCGGACCUUGCGUUAAUGGAGCGGCUGAUAUCUGAUUAGCUAGUUGGUGGGGUAAAGGCCCACCAAGGCGACGAUCAGUAGCUGGUCUGAGAGGACGACCAGCCACACUGGAACUGAGACACGGUCCAGACUCCUACGGGAGGCAGCAGUGGGGAAUUUUGGACAAUGGGCGCAAGCCUGAUCCAGCCAUUCCGCGUGAGUGAAGAAGGCCUUCGGGUUGUAAAGCUCUUUCGCAAGGGAAGAAACGUUACGAGCGAAUAACUCGUGAUAAUGACGGUACCUUGAUAAGAAGCACCGGCUAACUACGUGCCAGCAGCCGCGGUAAUACGUAGGGUGCGAGCGUUAAUCGGAAUUACUGGGCGUAAAGCGUGCGCAGGCGGUUUUGUAAGUCAGAUGUGAAAUCCCCGAGCUCAACUUGGGAACUGCGUUUGAAACUACAAGACUAGAGUAGGUCAGAGGGGGGUAGAAUUCCACGUGUAGCAGUGAAAUGCGUAGAGAUGUGGAGGAAUACCAAUGGCGAAGGCAGCCCCCUGGGAUCAUACUGACGCUCAUGCACGAAAGCGUGGGGAGCAAACAGGAUUAGAUACCCUGGUAGUCCACGCCCUAAACGAUGUCAACUAGUUGUUGGUAGAGUAAAAUCUAUGAGUAACGCAGCUAACGCGUGAAGUUGACCGCCUGGGGAGUACGAUCGCAAGAUUAAAACUCAAAUGAAUUGACGGGGGCCCGCACAAGCGGUGGAUUAUGUGGAUUAAUUCGAUGCAACGCGAAAANCUUUAC
rnacentral:rRNA from 1 species